rnacentral:ncRNA from 1 species
CACUACACAAUUUUAUUGGGUCAAGCAAAUGGUUAGAGAUCUUGGGGUCCAAACAAUCUCAAUCUAUUCUCAAACUUUAAAUGAGCAAGAAACCCAGCUCUCUUAAUGGGGGAGAAAUUCAAG